GAUGAACGCUGGCGGCGUGCUUAACACAUGCAAGUCGAACGAAGCACUUUGAUCGAUUUCUUCGGAUUGAAAUUUUAGUGACUGAGUGGCGGACGGGUGAGUAACGCGUGGGUAACCUGCCUCACACAGGGGGAUAACAGUUGGAAACGGCUGCUAAUACCGCAUAAGCGCACAGUAUCGCAUGGUACAGUGUGAAAAACUCCGGUGGUGUGAGAUGGACCCGCGUCUGAUUAGUUAGUUGGCGGUGUAACGGACCACCAAGACGACGAUCAGUAGCCGGCUUGAGAGAGUGAACGGCCACAUUGGGACUGAGACACGGCCCAAACUCCUACGGGAGGCAGCAGUGGGGAAUAUUGCACAAUGGGGGAAACCCUGAUGCAGCAACGCCGCGUGAGUGAAGAAGUAUUUCGGUAUGUAAAGCUCUAUCAGCAGGGAAGAAAAUGACGGUACCUGACUAAGAGCCCCGGCUAACUACGUGCCAGCAGCCG
rnacentral:rRNA from 1 species